UGGGGAAUAUUGGACAAUGGGCGCAAGCCUGAUCCAGCCAUGCCGCGUGAGUGAUGAAGGCCUUAGGGUUGUAAAGCUCUUUCGCCGGUGAAGAUAAUGACGGUAACCGGAGAAGAAGCCCCGGCUAAACUUCGUGCCAGCAGCCGCGGUAAUACGAAGGGGGCUAGCGUUGCUCGGAAUCACUGGGCGUAAAGCGCACGUAGGCGGAUCGUUAAGUCAGGGGUGAAAUCCUGGAGCUCAACUCCAGAACUGCCCGUUGAUACUGGCCGAUCUCGAGUUCGAGAGAGGUUGGUGGAACUCCGAGUGUAGAGGUGAAAUUCGUAGAUAUUCGGAAGAACACCAGUGGCGAAGGCGGCCAACUGGCUCGAUACUGACGCUGAGGUGCGAAAGCGUGGGGAGCAAAACAGGAUUAGAUACCCUGGUAGUCCACGCCGUAAACGAUGGAUGCUAGCCGUUGGGGGGUUUACCUCUCAGUGGCGCAGCUAACGCCUUAAGCAUCCCGCCUGGGGAGUACGGUCGCAAGAUUAAAACUCAAAGGAAUUGACGGGGUCAUAGCUGUUUCCU
rnacentral:rRNA from 1 species